GACGAACGCUGGCGGCGUGCUUAACACAUGCAAGUCGAACGGUGAAGCGCCUUCCUUUUUGGUGGGUGUGGAUGAGUGGCGAACGGGUGAGUAACACGUGAGUAACCUGCCCCCUUCUUCUGGAUAACCGCAUGAAAGUGUGGCUAAUACGGGAUAUUCUGGGUCUGUCGCAUGAUGGGUCUGGGAAAGAUAUUGUUUCGGUGGGGGAUGGGCUCGCGGCCUAUCAGCUUGUUGGUGGGGUGAUGGCCUACCAAGGCGGUGACGGGUAGCCGGCCUGAGAGGGUGGACGGUCACACUGGGACUGAGACACGGCCCAGACUCCUACGAGAGGCAGCAGUGGGGAAUAUUGCACAAUGGGCGCAAGCCUGAUGCGGCGACGCCGCGUGAGGGAUGGAGGCCUUCGGGUUGUGAACCUCUUUCGCCAGUGAAGCAGGCCUGCCUCGUUUGUGGGUGGGUUGACGGUAGCUGGAUAAGAAGCGCCGGCUAACUACGUG
rnacentral:rRNA from 1 species